rnacentral:rRNA from 1 species
GGACAUCCCACAGAGGUCAAAGGAGCAAUCCGGUAAGGGGUGGGCUCGCGUCCGAUUAGAUAGUUGGUGAGGUAACGGCCCACCAAGUCGACGAUCGGUAGCCGACCUGAGAGGGUGAUCGGCCACAUUGGGACUGAGACACGGCCCAAACUCCUACGGGAGGCAGCAGUGGGGAAUAUUGGGCAAUGGGGGGAACCCUGACCCAGCAACGCCGCGUGAGGGAAGAAGGUUUUCGGAUCGUAAACCUCUGUCCUUGGUGAAGAGGAAGAGACGGUAGCCAAGGAGGAAGCCCCGGCUAACUACGUGCCAGCAGCCGCGGUAAUACGUAGGGGGCGAGCGUUGUCCGGAAUGAUUGGGCGUAAAGGGCGCGUAGGCGGCCCGGUAAGUCUGGAGUGAAAGUCCUGCUUUUAAGGUGGGAAUUGCUUUGGAUACUGUCGGGCUUGAGUGCAGGAGAGGUAAGUGGAAUUCCCAGUGUAGCGGUGAAAUGCGUAGAGAUUGGGAGGAACACCAGUGGCGAAGGCGACUUACUGGACUGUAACUGACGCUGAGGCGCGAAAGUGUGGGGAGCAAACAGGAUUAG